UUGGUAUUUUUGUUUUUAAUUUUUUCAAUUUACUUGAUCUUGAGAAUGGUUCCAUGAUGAACUCGAAACGUCGAUCUUUCUUGUCAUUAAAUUUUGUUUUGAAAAAAGUAUCAUAAUAUAAUUAAAGCUAACAAUUAAUUCUGUGGACCUUAGCAGCUUGUAAUGUAGCGAGUCCUGCUGAGAAACUGUAACCCUCCAGCACUCAGGUGCUGUAGACAGUUCAAUUUAUUGAGUACUUUCAUCUGAAAGAUGACAAUAGAAAACUUGCCAUCAUACAAAUUAUGGACCUUUUCAGCUUGACGUCAUAUUUGACUGUCACAGAUGUUGGUGACAAAACAUUGAUAAUCCUGAUUUUCUUAAAGAAUAAUUAAUGUUUUGCUGUUUUAUAACUUUUUGUAUUUAUUUAAUUUUAAGAAAUUGUAAAUAUAUAUUGUAUUUUCUGGUGUAGCUAACAAGUUUUAAAAAAGUAAUUUGAUAGUAAAUAUGCUUAUAGAGAUUUUAUCAGAGAGCUUUCACGAUGAAAAUUAUUUGUGAUUUUAAUAGCUUGUUACAUUUUACUGUUUUAAAGAUGCUCUGAAAUUUAAAAAUGAAAACCUUCAUACAUGUCUUUCAACAUAUUUUUAUAACAAAAUUUGGCACUGUUAAGACACUCGUCCUACAACAAUGUCACAUGGUACAGUCAGUAGCAACCUUAAAUUAAUAAUUGGACUAUCAUGAUGUGUAAUUAGAUCAUUCUCUAUUUCUAAGCCUAUUAAGUCAACUGAUUGAUAUACUGCGUAUUCACAGUUUGGCAUAACAGCUAAGAGCUCUCACCAGCUAAAUCCAGGGGCCAUGGGCCUUUAAGGGCCCAGGAUAUAUUAUCUUUUUUGCCAGCGGGGUGUUUUUAAGGAGCACUAAACAUGUAAAAGAAGCCACCAUAAUGCUCCAUUAAAACAUCAAAAGUCGGGGUCUUACCGGGCAGUAGGGCCCCCGAAGAACCGGUAGCUAGGGGUCCUAGUUGCGCCACUAUACAUGAACAUGUUGCUUCACUGUCACAAAGUUCAUGAUGCUAAAUUAAAGUAUGGGCUCAUAUUAAAUGAUCAUUGCAUCAAAUCGUGUGUCUGCCACUUUAAAAUAACGGAAUAAAGCUUGUAAAUUAAAGGUAUACUGUCUGUUGGGCUAAGAAUGUUAAUACAAUUUGUAAUUAGGAAGGAAGGACAAACAAUAUUUUCUUUGCCAAUUUAACAGAUGCAUAAAUAGUACCAUAUCCUUACUUUAGGAUCCUAGACCCAUGGUUAAUAAUCAUUCAACGAUUUUCUUGUAAAAAUGUAGAAAUUAGCUGAAACUGAAUUUUCCAAUUCUGGGUCUCAAUGAAAGUUGAUUUAAAUAUACAACGCUCUAUUAAUUUUUGAGUGAUUUUCUUUAAGAUUUUGAAUUAAUCUGGAUUAUCAGAACAUGUUAAAUAGAUGUAAAAAAACUGAAGAUAAAGUUUUGUGUAAAUUUAUUCUGUAAUAUAUAUUGAUGUGACAAUUAUUGUAAACUAUAAAUGUGGAACUAUUAGAGAAAAGAUCAGUAUUAUGACAAUUGCAUAAAUAAUUGGAAAAACAAUAUUUUAAUUGCUUUGGCUAGAGUUCCGGUACCAGACCUAGCCAUAGUGUAUUUUUAUUCCAGUUUACAAAUUACUAGCAUUAUGUAUGUACUCUUGAAAAAUAAGAAUUAGCUGGUUUAUUCAAUAAAUGGGGUAUGUCAACCACAAAUUGUGCUUUAUUAAGACAGAAAAAAUUAUUUUCUAAACUUAUAAUUUUGACACAUUCUUUAACAAACACGUUUUUGGUAGUUGAAAGUAAGCAAAUCAAAUGUUGUAUUUAUAAAGAAAAAAUGCUUGUUCAAAAACAGCUAUAAAUUAUUAAUUUACAUUUCUAAAAAAUGUAUAACAAUUGAGAAAAAGAAACUGUUAUUCAUCUUGUUUUAUGCAGUUAUUUGACUAUGUUGCUGGUUCCAUUCCAAUCUGUAUUCUAUAUUGCUAAAUGUUCAUUAAGCACUAAAUUUAUAUUAAUUAUUUUUAUUUGUUUAUUUAAUUUUAUUUAGAUUUGUCUAGAUUGUCUUUCAAAUCUCUACAAUUAUGUUUGAAAGAACAGGAAAUAAAAGUGUUGUGUUUUUCCACACUCAUGUUUAAUAUGACAGACAUCUGUGAUUUGCCAAUAUAAUGAUAUAUCAUAUCCAUAUAUGGGAAAUAUGAUGUCAUAUCACAUCCAUAGAUAUGCAAUAUGAUGAUAUAUCACAUCCAUACAUAGGUCAUAUGAUGAUAUAUCACACCCAUAUAUGUACAAUAUGAUGUCAUAUCACACCACAUCCAUAUACUGUAUAUGCAAUAUGAUGUCACAUCACAUCCAUAUAUGCAAUAUGAUGUUAUAUCACAUCCAUAUAUGGGAAAUAUGAUGAUAUAAUAUUACAUCUAUAUAUGUGCAUAUCACAGUUAUCACAUAAAACAUAAUCAGAAGACAAGAAAACGUUUCAAAAUCAAACAUUAAAAUGGUUAAUGAAUGGAAGUUGAAAGAUUGUUUCCAGGGUUGUGGUAGAGUUAAGUCUAUACAGAAAUGGGUUGGAGGUUUGCAUGGUCAUCUGUACCAGCGAACACCUGUUCGGUGGUAAAGAUAAGGGACUAGAUAAUAAUUAGUAUUGUUAUUAUAAGGAGAUAGGCGUGGUUGAUCAGAAUAUGUGUGUUCAUGUAUUCUGGCGGAUUUUUGUUUGUUUGUUUGUUUUUUUUUUUUUUUUGAACCAGUAACUGCUUAAGGAAUUUCAAAGAUGUAAAUAGAAGCGUUCUCAGGGCUUUUGGCACACAGACUUUGAGUCUUCUAAAUUAUUUAUGACAUUGAAUUUCUACUAUGCAUGACAAUUUGUUUUGUAAUGAAUAAAUGUGACAGGGUCAUAAUGGA